AUUGAACGCUGGCGGCAGGCUUAACGCAUGCAAGUCGAGCGGAGAUGAGGUGCUUGCACCUUAUCUUAGCGGCGGACGGGUGAGUAAUGCUUAGGAAUCUGCCUAUUAGUGGGGGACAACAUUCCGAAAGGAAUGCUAAUACCGCAUACGUCCUACGGGAGAAAGCAGGGGAUCUUCGGACCUUGCGCUAAUAGAUGAGCCUAGGUCGGAUUAGCUUGUUGGUGGGGUAAAGGCCUACCAAGGCGACGAUCUGUAGCGGGUCUGAGAGGAUGAUCCGCCACACUGGGACUGAGACACGGCCCAGACUCCUACGGGAGGCAGCAGUGGGGAAUAUUGGACAAUGGGCGGAAGCCUGAUCCAGCCAUGCCGCGUGUGUGAAGAAGGCCUUUUGGUUGUAAAGCACUUUAAGCGAGGAGGAGGCUACCUGGAUUAAUACUCUAGGAUAGUGGACGUUACUCGCAGAAUAAGCACCGGCUAACUCUGUGCCAGCAGCCGCGGUAAGAC
rnacentral:rRNA from 1 species